rnacentral:rRNA from 1 species
AAGUCGAGCGGACAGAAGGGAGCUUGCUCCCGGAUGUUAGCGGCGGACGGGUGAGUAACACGUGGGUAACCUGCCUGUAAGACUGGGAUAACUCCGGGAAACCGGAGCUAAUACCGGAUAGUUCCUUGAACCGCAUGGUUCAAGGAUGAAAGACGGUUUCGGCUGUCACUUACAGAUGGACCCGCGGCGCAUUAGCUAGUUGGUGAGGUAACGGCUCACCAAGGCGACGAUGCGUAGCCGACCUGAGAGGGUGAUCGGCCACACUGGGACUGAGACACGGCCCAGACUCCUACGGGAGGCAGCAGUAGGGAAUCUUCCGCAAUGGACGAAAGUCUGACGGAGCAACGCCGCGUGAGUGAUGAAGGUUUUCGGAUCGUAAAGCUCUGUUGUUAGGGAAGAACAAGUGCAAGAGUAACUGCUUGCACCUUGACGGUACCUAACCAGAAAGCCACGGCUAACUACGUGCCAGCAGCCGCGGUAAUACGUAGGUGGCAAGCGUUGUCCGGAAUUAUUGGGCGUAAAGGGCUCGCAGGCGGUUUCUUAAGUCUGAUGUGAAAGCCCCCGGCUCAACCGGGGAGGGUCAUUGGAAACUGGGAAACUUGAGUGCAGAAGAGGAGAGUGGAAUUCCACGUGUAGCGGUGAAAUGCGUAGAGAUGUGGAGGAACACCAGUGGCGAAGGCGACUCUCUGGUCUGUAACUGACGCUGAGGAGCG